GAUGAACGCUAGCGGCAGGCCUAACACAUGCAAGUCGAGGGGCAGCACAUAAAGUGGUUUACUACUUUUGGUGGCGACCGGCGGACGGGUGCGUGACGCGUAUGCAACCUGCCUCCAACAGGGGGAUAACGGAGAGAAAUUUCCACUAAUACCCCAUAAUAUCAGAAUCGGCAUCGGUUUUGGCUGAAAACUCCGGUGGUUGGAGAUGGGCAUGCGUUGUAUUAGAUAGUUGGUGAGGUAACGGCUCACCAAGUAAACUAUACAUAGGGGGAAUGAGAGGUUAGCCCCCCACACUGGUACUGAGACACGGACCAGACUCCUACGGGAGGCAGCAGUGAGGAAUAUUGGUCAAUGGGGGCAACCCUGAACCAGCCAUGCCGCGUGCAGGAAGACGGCUCUAUGAGUUGUAAACUGCUUUUACAAGGGGAUAAAUCGGUGUACGUGUACACCGUUGAAGGUACCUUGGGAAUAAGGAUCGGCUAACUCCGUGCCAGCAGCCGCCGUAA
rnacentral:rRNA from 1 species